rnacentral:other from 1 species
GAGGACCUGCUGUGUGCGUGGUUUUACCGAUUUGUUUUGAUCCAACACCUUUAAAUAGGGGAGCUCGGACUCUGGUUAUGGCAUGUAUGCCAUCCUAAAGGUGGAAACAUAAAGUAAUCAGGAGAGCACCCACCUUGGUUUUUGAGGUCCAAAACAGCGGAAUUACGGCACAGUGGGGCAUUA